UGAGUGGUUGGAUGUGGGGGUUUGUUGGCCUCUUAAAUGAGUUCAGCUCCUCUGAAAUGCAUUAGCAGAACAACCCUGUUCAUUGGCGUGAUAACUAUCUACGCUAUUGAAUGUGAGGGACGGUUCAGCUUUCUAACAGUCCUUGGACAACUUAUCAUUUAUGUGACCUCAAAUCAGGUAGGACUACCUGCUGAACUUAA
rnacentral:misc_RNA from 1 species